rnacentral:rRNA from 1 species
GAUUGUAGGCUGAAACUCGCCUACAUAAAGCUGGAGUUACUAGUAAUCGCAGAUCAGAAUGCUGCGGUGAAUGCGUUCCCGGGUCUUGUACACACCGCCCGUCACACCACGGAAGUUGGGGCGCCCGAAGCCACUUAUCUAACCCUUUUGGGAAGCGAGUGUCGAAGGUGAAAUCAAUAACUGGGGUGAAGUCGUAACAAGGUACC